rnacentral:tRNA from 1 species
AGGCCUGUAGCUCAGUUGGACCAGAGCGCGACGCUACGAACGUCGAGGUCGGGGGUUCGAAUCCCUCCAGGCCUGCCA